rnacentral:lncRNA from 10 species
CUCCGGACUCCAGAACUUUCCAAGCGGGGGAAACUUGGCGGCGAUUGUUCCUGCCUGAUUCAUAAACAUCGUGAUUGGCUUUGAUUGCUGUCACGUCUAAUGUGGCUGCUGCCUCGUGUCACAUCUGAAACUCAUCUGUACCUCACUUAGAAAGUAUUUGCAUAGGAAUCAGAGGAGUUAAUCUGUUUGAAUCUUCAGACAAACUUCUGGGAGGACUCGGUCCCUGCCUCGCAGCAGAUGUUCCCUGUCACUCAGUAGCAUAUGGCUACCCAUUCUCCCCAGAAAUCUCACCAGUG